UUUUAGGGUGGGUUGUUAUAUCCCCGCCUGGGAGUAACCAGCUAUAAAGACGUAGCUCCGCGCGGGUGGUGCUCUCAGAAUCCCUCGUUUAGAGCUUCGUUCCCGCUGAAGAGGCGGAAAAUAAAAAUGUGAAAACCGGCGCCCAUUUCCUGUCAGUCACGCCGGCCUGCGUCCUGCAGCCGCCACUUCCAGGGAUCAGCGGCUAAACCAACAGCCAUAUUCUUGGCAGCGAGCCAGCCCCCCCUCGCCCGCCCCCCCCCCCCCCGAAAGAGAGAGAGGCUCCCAUUGUGAGGCCCGAUCGUCCCAUUUAACGGCCGCUGCCACAAAGACGUGACACGUUUUCUCCGUAAUUACAAGUAAGAUAAUAAGAAUGGGAACGCGUUCUUUCACAGACUGUUUCUCGUUUCUGAAUAAAUGAUGAGCGUGUUGUGAAAAAGGAAUAUGAGACUCUGUUUGUUUUUUGUCCAGUUUUUGUUCAAGCGACUCACAUUGGACAUUAUGUAAACUUUGACUUCAUGGAGGACGUCCGUGUUCUGUUUAGUCUGCUCCCGCCGGAGGUGUGUGUGUGUGUGUGUGUGCUCGUCCUGCCCUCCAUCUGAGGACCAUUGCUCAUCUGAGACCUUCAGAGUGAGGACAUUUAGGCUGGUCUCAUUCUGCUUUCUGUAGGCGAACCAGUGGGAGACAAUGCAGAGUCCAAUCCAGUGGACGUGGAAGGAAGGACAGCACAGAGAAUCCAACGGUCCAGGCAGCUUCUGAACCGACCACUGAAGUGCUUUUCUCGUCUUGUUCUCCGGGAGGACUGAAGUUCGUCGUGAAAAGAGGGAAAACCGCACAAAAAAACGCCGCUUUUCCUUUGGGGACAAGGACAAGAUGGUUCUCCAAAGACAAUACGACAAAGAGUGUGUAUUUAUGUCUGAAAACUGACAGAAGAAAGAUGCAUAAAAACAACCCCGUCCACACACACACACACACACACACACACACACACACACCCCUGUUGUGUCACGCCGGUUGUCAUGGUCACACUUCUGACUUCAUGGAAGCUCAGUUUAAGCUUUAAAAGUUUAUCUGUGCUCACGAGCGCAUGACGAACAAAACACGACGUCAUCGAUGAGCUCCAACUCACAGCUGCUGGACGCUCAUGCAGUUGACUCUGGCGCCCCCUGUGGACGGAAGUGGUAGUGUCCCUACCAGCACGGUCCCUUCAGAACCCCUCGUUCUACCGCAGGGUUCCACAGUCAGCUCCUCUCAGUCCCGGGUCUGGUUCUCCCGGGCCUCCCUUCACUCCAUCACCACGUCCUGGUCCUCCAGAGAGGAGAAGCGUCUGGGUCUGUCCCCGGUGCGCCGUCUCUGCUUAAGGAUCUUCUACGGGGUCUACGGAGGAUCAGGACUAAACUGACUCUGAUUCAGAACCAACUCCUCACGGUAACUUUAAAUAAAUGAACUAAUUCGUCAAUGAAUCCAAGCGGCUGCGGUCUCAAUCGUCUCCGCUGGUCCAGGAUCAAAGACGAGGAGAAGUGGUCUCAUCAGGCAGUUGACUAAAGGCUCCUCCAGAGGGACCGACGCACUCGAGACCGUCCUUAAGACACUCUCACAGCGUCUCCUCAAAGAGACAACAGCUCAAGAGCCAAUUACCGCCGGCAGCCGUCCUCCGGAUCGACGAGCUGCAGCGAGACAGAAACCACCAAGAGGUCCUGUGAUGUGAGAGCUCUCAUUACACUCCAGCAGACCAUUGUCCUCUUGUUAAGGACCAAAUCAACCUCAUUCCAAAUGUUUGAGUUCUCCGUCCCGUCGUCUCCUCUCUGCUCCUCCCGCUCUCCUUAAAAGACAAACACUGCCCUCUGUCUCCGCCGCCUGGAAGCACAGGAAGGACAUCACCGGUGUGUGUCCUCAGAGACAACCACACAAAGACACAGAGCGUGUGUCCUCAGAGACAACCACACAACGACACAGAGUGUGUGUCCUCAGAGACAACCACACAACGACACAGAUGUGUGUCCUCAGAGACAACCACACAACGACACAGAUGUGUGUCCUCAGAGACAACCACACAACGACACAGAUGUGUGUCCUCAGAGACAACCACACAACAACACACAUAUGUGUGUCCUCAGAGACAACCACACAAAGACACACAUGUGUGUCCUCAGAGACAACCACACAAAGACACAGAGUGUGUGUCCUCAGAGACAACCACACAAAGACACACAUGUGUGUCCUCAGAGACAACCACACAACGACACAGAGUGUGUCCUCAGAGACAACAACACGGUUGUGUAUUUUGUUCUUUGUUGUUGUUGACAGACUGAAGCAGGAGGACGGGGACGAGGUCUUUUUGUUUCCUUCAGGUAUUUCCUCCGUCCUGAAGAAAGCUUCGUACCUGAAGCAGACGCAGCCUGAGUGCGUUGACCUUUGACCUUUAACCUCUGAAGUGACCUCACACCGUCUCCCCGAUGUCGUACGUUUUUUUACUGAAGGCUUAAAGCCACACUGGCUCCCCGUGAGGUGCUGGUUGCCCCGGUGGUGGUGACGUAGCCGUGGCGGUGGUGGUGACGUAGCCGUGGCGGUGGUGGUGACGUAGCCGUGGUGGUGACGUAGUAAUGCUAACAGGGAUGAGAGUAUUAAAACUCGGAUGUCACGGUGCGUCGGUGCUUUUGUUGAUUUUUGUUGUUGAUUCUGUUUCCUGUUUGAUUCCCGGAGCUCCUCCUCCAGAGAUCGUGAACGUCUCCAGGGAAGUUACUUGGAAUUACUGAGCAUUGCAGUGAAAGGUGUGCUCACCUUUACUGGCGCGGUGAGACGCCGUGGGAGAGGAAAGCGGGCCGGCUCCUUAGUGCGAGCAGCCUGGUUCUCGCACACCGCUGCCGGGCGUCUUUGUCUCCAGCGUGCGACAAGCUGGACAACCUCCAGCUGCUGGUGAGGACAGACAGACACUUUCCUGCACUCUCCAUUUUGUCCCUCGCAGAGACGUGGUUCUGUGGAUCGAUACCGAACUGCUGCUCAGAGCGGACAUGGAGCAAGGCGAAGGGUGGAGGAAUCUGCUUCAACUCCAACAGCAGCUGGUGCAGCGACGUUUCUCCUGAUCGGUUGAUGAUCAUUAACUGUUAUUUUAAUAUUUAUGGAUGAAGCUCACUGAUUUAAGAUGAUCCGAGUUGAAACGCUGACUCUCGUCCUUGUCUGAGGACCCUAAUGGUUCCGUAGGAGAGGAAGAAGGGAUUCACGUGUGUUACCGUAAACCAGUCAGAGCUCCGUGUGGGGGGGUCAGCUUGGUAACAUAUCUCCUGCGAGUGAAGGAGAUAACCGAGGCUAAUAGAAACAUGCCGGGGUGAUUUAUUGGGGGGCUCAGUACGGCAGACAGUCUGUUGACUCACUCUAUAAAUAAACAUAGAUCCAUACACAUAUAGAGAGUGUAGAGGGUGAUAUAUACGACUAUAUAUACACACACAUAUGUAGUGAUAUAUAAACUGGGAUGAUCUAUUCAUCCUGCCAUAACUUUACGUUUAAUAUGCUGUGAAGAACUAUUAUAUGGAUUGUACUCAUUUGUAUUUUAAUAUUAUAAAAUAAAAAUAAAUACAUGGUAAAGUGAAUGUAAUUAUCUAAAUGAUUGCAUACAUAAACUACAACCGAUGAACAGCAUUGUGUUAGCGACCGAAUACACUCUAAGGGACCAGAAAUGUCACUUUGAAUAAAUAACAGGAAAAAAAAGUGUGUGUAUAUAUUAUAUAUGUGUAUUAUAUAUAUAU
ensembl:lncRNA